rnacentral:rRNA from 1 species
CCUACGGGGGGCAGCAGUGGGGGAUAUUGCACAAUGGGGGAAACCCUGAUGCAGCAACGCCGCGUGUGGGAAGAAGGUUUUCGGAUUGUAAACCACUGUUCUUGGUGAAGAUAAUGACGGUAACCAAGGAGAAAGCUCCGGCUAACUACGUGUCAGCAGCCGCGGUAAUACGUAGGGAGCAAGCGUUGUCCGGAUUUACUGGGUGUAAAGGGUGCGUAGGCGGUCUUGCAAGUCAGACGUGAAAACCACAGGCUCAACCUGUGGACUGCGUUUGAAACUGUGGGGCUUGAGUUGGAGAGAAGUAUGCGGAAUGCGCGGUGUAGCGGUGAAAUGCAUAGAUAUCGCGCAGAACUCCGAUUGCGAAGGCAGCAUGCCGGCUCCACACUGACGCUGAGGCACGAAAGCGUGGGUAUCGAACAGGAUUAGAUACCCCUGUAGUC